AAGUCACAGAAUUUCAUGCCCAUGGAAUGAAGGGAACACUUUUAAAAAAUAAAGGAAAAUUCAAAUGGGGUCAGCUGGACCCCAGGGACCGAUUAAGGGUUAAGUACUAUAUUUUGUAAAUUU